CCGCCACAGGGCGGGGAGUGGCACAACAGGAAGUCGGUUCUGGUUCCUGGGUUAAGGUGCUAAGGCAGGCGCGAGCGGCCGAGGGCUCCGUGCGGCGGUCGUUUCCAGUUCCAGAGAUGAUGGCAGUGUAACUUACAAAAUAUUUCCGUCGAAGAAGCUGUUUUGAAAGCAGAAAUAUGUAGAGAAGUACUUGCUUCUGGAUGGCAUCUGUGUUCUCAUGUGAACCUAUGAGAGGUCUGUGAACUUGACCACCUUUUCAGUGAUGAAAGAACAUUGGGAAUUAUGGACAAAAUUGGAGAGCAGCUUAAUAAAGCUUAUGAAGCCUAUCGACAAGUAUGCAUGGAUAGGGACCAUGCUGUGAAAGAACUACAGCAGAAAACAGAAAACUACAUGCAGCAAAUACGUGAACAGCAGGAAAAGAUAGAGCUUCAAAACAACAUUAUUGCAAAACUGAAAUCACAGUUAGCUGCUCUGAAUGCUAAUAGAGGUAAUGUGCAUCCUUACGUUCUGAUGCCUGAAGACAUUGAAACCUCCAACUUAUCUUUCAGCCAGCUCUCUGAAAAACUGAACAUAGCAAAGCAAAGAGAAAAACUCUUGAAGGAACAGUUAGAAAGUGAGAGCAUGAAAUUGAAGCAACUUGAGGACAAAAAUAAUCAAAAGGAAAGGAAGCUGAUCUCUAUUAUUUCCAACCAAGAAGAUAAAAUAAGAAGUCUGAAAAGCAAAUUGAAAGAAUUAAAUGAAGCACAAAAGGGUAUACAGAUGCCAGCAUAUAAAAGGGAGGUGAAAAGUAAGAAAGUUGUUCCAGAUAAGCCUGAAUUAUCUCUAGGGAUCUCUGGUAUUUCACCUAUGUCUGAAAGGUAAAUGCUUUUGCAGCACUAUUUUUGAAAUUUGCUUUUAUUUGUCUUUUCUGCUGUUAAAUAAGACCAGCUAUUUCCCUAUUUUCUACAUAGCACCUUAAAAAAUGAAUGGGGGGGUGGGGCGGGGGAGGAGCAGAGGUCAAAGAGCCAGUGUGGGAAGGUGUUAAAGCCAGCAACUAUACGGAAUCAUAGCUGGGGCUUUGCAAGUAUGUAGGGAUAAGUUGAGAGGAAGAAAAAUAGCCACUUGGUUCAGCAGGAGGUUAAACUCUGUGGGAAACAGCAGUGGAUGUUAAUGCUGGGUUUUGGAUAAGCAUUAACUCUCUUCAGAACAGGAAUGUACAACCAUAACGGAUUAACUGAUGGCAGCACAGCAGAGGAGCCUGCUGCACUACCAGGAGGAGGUCUGAUAGUCAGCAUGAAGAAAUAAUUCUUGGCCUGAGCCAUCCUAAGUGAGAGAGUUUGAAAUCAGGUUUAUCUGUCAGCUGAAGCCAGCCAGCCCUUGCUAUGACCAAGGGACCAAAAGCAGUGUAUUUCCUAAGCCAGUAUUCCUCUUCUGUCUGUGUUUUGGGAAAAGUAUUGACCAAAGUCUUAGGUUUGCAUUUUUCAUGGGAUAGGCAGUAAUACCACUUUUCACAAUUUUGCUGAGGUCAAAUAGAAGAUUCUUUAAGGAGAGGCUAGGAGAGUAUUAGGGAAAAAUAUCACCAGUUCUUGAUGUCGUCUUAUACUCUUGCCUAGGCAUCUGCUUUUGGCCACUCCCGACAUAGGCUAGGUGAACUACAUGGAUCUUUAGUCUGAGUCACUACUGCUUUAUGAUAAGAAAGAGAAGCAAUAAGAUUGUGAUGUGAUAAAGACUUUUUUGUCCUUAAAGACUUUUUGUCUUCAUACUGAUUUAUAUCUAAAAAAUAAAAAACCUUCACCUGUCUUCUGUCUCCCUGCUCUCCAGUAGCUCCCUUACUUUACUGUUUUCUUGGAAAGAGGUAUGUGAUUGGUAAGAUUACUGGUAAUCUUACACUAGUAAGAUUAUCACAAAAGUCUAGCAAAUUAAGAUUGAUUCAUCUAAUCGUAUGUAUAUUUUAAAGCUCUGAUUAGAAACUUGUGACAAGAAUCUUUUUUAAUUCCUUAUUUAUCAAACACCUGAAAAAUGGUCAGAAUGUAAGUGGUAACAGCAGCAACUUUAACUACUGUAGAUUUGGGGUUUUUUCAAAUGAGUUACAAACAGACAUUAUCUUCAGAAAGAGAAACACAACAGAAGUAGGAACGCAGCUCAUGACACUCCUGAUUACUAUAUGAAUAAGCAAUAAAGAGGAAAACAAUUCACUGGAUCAAAGAAAAACCGCUUUUGAGCUCUUCUGAUACAAAGAUGCAAAAGAGAACUCAAAUCCAACUUCACUUUUUCAUCCUUGAAGUUCAUUUCAUAACAUCCAUUACGUUGUGCUUAGAAAUAUAAAUCACUCAGCAAGUUUAUCAAAAUUUUUCAAUGGAAUUUUAUGUAUGCAUCAAUAACUGAAUAACCUAGUGCCUUUGGGCAAAUAAAACUCACACUAGCAUGAAGAACUAUUUUUCUGUUCUCAGUGCAAAUGACUAAAUUUCAGAUGUCCAUAUGAUACUCUGGAAAAGAUAUAAUAAAAAAAAUCCCUCAAAAUAAAAGGGAAAGUCAUGUGAUAUUGCAUAAAAUAGAGAAGUAGUGAGUUCACAAGUCCCUCUUCAAAACUUCAGGUAGACAGAGAAGGAAGGAGCAGUAAUAAAUGCUUGUGUAUUCCUUCUCCUGCAAAGUCUGAAGUGCACAGAAAAGAAUGGAAAAUAAUUAAUGUUUGCAGAAGCAUCAGCAUCUUAUUUUCCCUGUAAUGAGAUGGAAACAGUUGGAAACAGUACCCUUGUGAAAGAUAAGCUGUUCCACAAAAUACCUGAGAGAACUGAAAGAAAUGUAAAGGCUAGAUUUUCUGGGGGGGUUCCUUCCAGGGUCAGGCCCUAAGCUCAAAUGUAUGUGCGUGAUAUGACUAAACAGCUCUUUGACAAGAUUUUCUUUUCCCUUUUCUGCUUGCUUUCACUGAGGAGAACAAAAAUAUGUAUACAUAUGUCGAGGAACAAGGGAGAAUGUGGAGACAAUUUUCCAGGACAUGAAAGAAGAGUGUUAUCGAAUACGUAUGCUAGCCAGAGAACAAACAGACCAACUGAGUAAAUUUAAGAUAAAGCCAGAACCUGAAACUGAAAUACAGUUUUCCAUGCCGAUACAGUGUACUGAUAAAACUGAUGAACAAGCAGAAGAGCUUUUUAAGCCUCGGGUUAUAAAGGAUAUAAAUAGAGGUGCAUCAUGCAUCACAUCUAUCACACCAAGAGGAGUGGGCCAAGAUGAGGACAACUCCUCUAUAGAAUCACUUUCUAAAUUUAAUGUCAAGCUUCCACCUACAGACAAUGACUCUGCUUUCUUGCAGAGCACUCAGGAAAAACCAGCAAUUCCUUGUACUGGUAUAGCUGAAAACAUGCUUCAAGAUCAUCAUUUUAACCUGGAGCUUAGAGACUGUGCUGUUAACCUCAGUAAAUUGGAACCUAACUCAUUUGAAGCUCAUGGAGUUGAUCUCAUGACCUCAGCUUUACAAAGUUUAACUACUGUUGACAAAACAAAUCCCCCAGAUCAUGCAAACAUGUCCAUAGAAAAUACCCAUGACAAAACAUGUUUAAAAACAACAGACACUGGUUUCACAUUUGUACCUAAGCACGCAAACCAGGAUGUACCUGAAGUAAUUUUUUCAUCUUUAGAAGCUGCUGGGACAAUCGUCAGAGGUCCUCAUCAGCUCAUUUGGCAGCCUGAAGACAAUGAUUUGCUGGCACAAGCUUAUACAGACUCUGAACUGAAUCAGUGUGGAAUAUGUGAAUUCUGUCGAGAAGUUUUCCCACCAUCCAUGACAUCUAAGAAAGAUUUUCUUCGGCAUCUGAAUUCCCACUUUAAAGUACAGUCUUAAUGUAUGAGAAUUCAAUGGUUCACUGUUUUGCAUACAUUUUGAUUUUUUGUAUUCAAUAGAUAUGCUAAGAAUUGAAGAAUUAAGACUUCUUGUAACAAGAACUCAUGACUGAAACUGUGUGUCAGAUAAGCAAGUUUUUAAUUGUCCUUUGACAAGGUAACAUGAAACUGUAAGUCACUCAGUACUGUAAUUCACAUUAUUGCUUGUUAUGCUUCAAGAGUGAUGUUAAACACCUUUUUCUUUUUUUGCUUUUUUCUUUCCUUUUUCCUUUUUUUUUUUCCUUUUAAUUUAUGAGCGUAGACUUGCAGAAUUAAUGCCUUAAUCUGGCUGGGGAAACUGGUGUAAUGCUAGGAUUUUUUUCUCGCUAUCCAGUGAUGUGAUUAUGUUCUCCUUGAAGUAAACAGGAAGAGAAGUAGACUCUUGUUUUUCAUUUCUCUUACAAAAGUUCCAAAUUUAACUUACAGUAGUGAACCUCUUAAUCGAGAUUCUUGUAAAAUCAUCACAGUAACUGAAUGCCAGGUAUGUCAAAAUUAGGGUAGGCUUGUUCACUAGUAAUAUAAAUGAAUGGUUGACUUUCCCCGAUGAAUCGUUUACUAGAGAGAGUAAUCAAACACAGCACGUAAAUUACCCGUUUGCCAAAAUGUAUCAGUAGCAAUUUUAUGGAUAUCUGUUACAUGUUAUAAAAAAAAAAAUUAUUAUUUUGUGUACCUUUCUAGCAUUAAUGAUUUGUAAAAAUACUCCCACGGAAAAAGUUAUAUUGCUAUGAGAGAUAAAGUGAGAAAGGAUUAAACUUUCCCUAAAACUAAGAAUACCAAAGAUUAUUUACCUUUCCUUCUGGUCUGCUAUGCAGGAUUGCUGAAGUCUGUUACAGCCUAGAAAGAAAAACCUAAUCACCGAAAUCUCAGUGACUUCAUUUUUAACCAGAAUAAGCUUAGUGGCCUUCUCAAUGCAAUUUAAAUUUGUGUUUAAUUGAAACAUUGUAUUCUGAUAAAGUUUGCACAUUUUCUGGAUUUAUUAGGAUCAAAUUAAAAAGGGGGGGUACUAAGUCAUUUAAUUUAAUCAUAGCAACUAGGAGCUUUUUGCAUUUGAACUGUGUAUAGGUUUUAGUCCUGAUAUUUGGUAAUUAGCAUUAAUAUUUUCAUAGCAGCAAAGCACAGCGGUUUCUCUUUUUAAAGAUUUGUUUGCAGGUGACACUUUUUUGGAGGAAUUAACACCUGCACAUUUUUAGAAAUUGAUUUUUCUACAAUUAUUUCCUCUAUUUUAAACAUCUAAUGUUUGUGACUGGCUGUCAACAGAGUGUACUGUAAUAAACAGCAGUGCGCAGUGCAUGUCUGCUCCAUGACCUGGAGAAAGAGUUUGUUACUAUUAACAGCUCUAAACCCCCGGCGGUAUCCAGCGCAGAGGAGGAUACGUUCAUCCCCGGGCUCGCCGUGCGGCGUGUGAAGUACCUCCCAGGCGAGCGCGGCUGGGGGUGGUUCCUGGGAGAGACAGAAGUUCCAGGAUUGGGAGGAGAGAUGGGGAUUCGCACAUCUCCAGCCAGCCCGACACAAAACCGACUUGUCGUCUCAACCGUGAAAUUAGAGCUCAGGAGCUCACGUUAUUAAGAACUGAACAAACUGCGAAUCACCUUUGAAGAAAAUAAAGUCAUCUCUGUGUAUCCGUCCCCGUCGUGUCCCCCCUCCCCGCUGUGCGCGGACGCUGUUCGGCUGGCGCGGAGGGAGCCCCGCGCGGGACCGCGGGUCUUUGUUGCUGGAGGCGGCCUGAGCUCCGCGCUGCCUGCAGAGCCAUCCCCCGCCCCUGCGGCCGGGGUAAGGGCGGGUGGGCGACACGACGACACAGACGCCGUUGCAGAACCUAUAUCUCUCCUGCUAUGAGAGCUCCUGCCUAGUGCGGCGUCUUAGGAAGCUGUUUAAUUCUGCGUGCUUAAAACUAUUGCUGCCUGAGGGUGUCCGGUUAUGCUCGCCCAUCAAACCACUGCGAGGGGCACCACUCUGGUUUAAAAAUAAAUAAAUAACUAAAUAAAUAUCA